rnacentral:rRNA from 1 species
UACGUAGGGGGCAAGCGUUGUCCGGAAUCAUUGGGCGUAAAGAGCGUGUAGGCGGUCCGUUAAGUCGGCUGUGAAAGUCCAAGGCUCAACCUUGGGAUGCCGGUCGAUACUGCCGGACUAGAGUUCGGAAGAGGCGAGUGGAAUUCCCGGUGUAGCGGUGAAAUGCGCAGAUAUCAGGAGGAACACCGGUGGCGAAGGCGGAUCUCUGGGCCUUACCUGACGCUCAGGUGCGAAAGCUAGGGGAGCGAACAGG